CCUACGGGAGGCUGCAGUGGGGAAUAUUGGACAAUGGGGGCAACCCUGAUCCAGCCAUGCCGCGUGUGAGAAGAAGGCCCUCGGGUUGUAAAGCACUUUCAGUGAGGAAGAACGCCUGGUGGUUAAUACACAUCAGGAAAGACAUCACUCACAGAAGAAGCACCGGCUAACUCCGUGCCAGCAGCCGCGGUAAUACGGAGGGUGCGAGCGUUAAUCGGAAUUACUGGGCGUAAAGCGCGCGUAGGUGGCUUGAUAAGCCGGUUGUGAAAGCCCCGGGCUCAACCUGGGAACGGCAUCCGGAACUGUCAAGCUAGAGUGCAGGAGAGGAAGGUAGAAUUCCCGGUGUAGCGGUGAAAUGCGUAGAGAUCGGGAGGAAUACCAGUGGCGAAGGCGGCCUUCUGGACUGACACUGACACUGAGGUGCGAAAGCGUGGGUAGCAAACAGGAUUAGAUACCCGGGUAGUC
rnacentral:rRNA from 1 species